rnacentral:rRNA from 1 species
GACGAACGCUGGCGGCGUGCUUAACACAUGCAAGUCGAACGAUGAAGCUAGAGCUUGCUCUGGUGGAUUAGUGGCGAACGGGUGAGUAACACGUGAGUAACCUGCCCCGAACUCUGGGAUAACUGCUGGAAACGGUAGCUAAUACCGGAUAUGACCAAUGAAGGCAUCUUCUGUUGGUGGAAAGAAUUUCGGUUCGGGAUGGACUCGCGGCCUAUCAGCUUGUUGGUGAGGUAACGGCUCACCAAGGCGACGACGGGUAGCCGGCCGGAGAGGGCGAUCGGCCACACUGGGACUGAGACACGGCCCAGACUCCUACGGGAGGCAGCAGUGGGGAAUAUUGCACAAUGGGCGCAAGCCUGAUGCAGCAACGCCGCGUGAGGGACGACGGCCUUCGGGUUGUAAACCUCUUUUAGUAGGGAAGAAGCGAAAGUGACGGUACCUGCAGAAAAAGCACCGGCUAACUACGUGCCAGCCGCCGCCGUAA